AAUCAACGCUGGCGGCGUGCCUAACACAUGCAAGUCGAACGCGAAAGGGGCUUCGGCCCUGAGUAGAGUGGCGAACGGGUGAGUAACGCGUGGGUGACCUACCCUCGAGUGGGGGAUAACGUUCCGAAAGGGACGCUAAUACCGCAUGACAUUCCUGGUUUGAAGGCCGGGAAAUCAAAGCCGGGGACCGCAAGGCCUGGCGCUUGAGGAGGGGCCCGCGUCUGAUUAGCUAGUUGGCGGGGUAACGGCCCACCAAGGCGACGAUCAGUAGCCGGCCUGAGAGGGCGGACGGCCACACUGGGACUGAGACACGGCCCAGACUCCUACGGGAGGCAGCAGUGGGGAAUAUUGGACAAUGGGCGCAAGCCUGAUCCAGCAAUGCCGUGUGUGUGAAGAAGGCCUUCGGGUUGUAAAGCACUUUUAGUUGGGAAGAAAAGCUCAUGGGUAAUAUCCAUGAGUGCUGACGUUACCAACAGAAAAAGCACUGGCUAACUCUGUGCCAGCCGCCGCCGUAAUAC
rnacentral:rRNA from 1 species